UUUAGGGACUUUACUGACGGGACUCUGGGCUGGCUGCUCUGUUCACUCGUCAGCGCAAGUGGCGUGACCAUGUAAUUGGGGCACGGGGCCGGCGCGGCGCGCUGCGGGCUUGCAGAAUUUUGUUUGUUUGUUUGGCCGCACGCUGGCGCAGCCACGGGCCGCAGUUACUGGGGCGCGCUGUCGUAACAAGCCGCGCGGUGUGGCCUGCACAUUGGGGUAGAGGGGGGGUAGUCUUCCCAGAUGUUCUAGUUAGUUGUUUAGUAAAUUUGACUUCAAUAACGAGCUUUUGUUAUGGUAGGCGCGGCAGGGCGCGCGAAUUUAAGCGCAAGUGAUUGGUGACUCGGGGCUCACUCAGGCGGAGGCUAUGCGUCUCACCUGUGGUCACGAGUUGUUAGUUCGUUCGUGAUGUAGGAAUUCAAGCUUUCGGGCGGAAGCUAUGGUCGACGCCAGAGGCCACGAGUCGUUUAAUUUAAGUUAGGUCAUAAUGUAGUCGUCAAGCUUUCGGGCGGAGGCUAUGGCCCUCGUCAGGGGUCACGCGUCAUAGUUUUUAAAAUGUAAUGUUCGUUCGGGAUUUCAAGGGCAGGAGAGGCCCCUACGUUAUUUUUUUAAAGUAAUCGAUCAAGAAAGGCUUUUCGGAAAAUGUGAGUAUGGACUUAUCUUUGUUUUAAUUUUAAGUAUUAAUUAUGAUUUGAGGUAUUCGGAAGGACUAGGGAAGUGUUUAGUGAAGUUCUCUCAUUCUCUCUCUUGUAAGGUCGUUCAAUCGUUAAGGAAGUAAAGAGAUUAUUGUUUUAAAUUGUAAUCCCGCUAUUUAAAUGUUCUUUAAAAUGAUGUUGAGUAUUUGACUUUAAGAAUAAAAUAAUUUUAAUUAAGUAUUAUGUUAUUUUGCAAAAUCUCCUUAGUUCAGCUCUCACCAGACAUCCUGUACGGGAUGACGAACCUAUGAUCCUAGGUACAGUAAAGUAUUUUAUGAAGUUAAGACUAGUUGAUGCCAAGCGAGUUGUUUCUAUGUAAAGAGCUACGAUUCUCGCCCCCCCCUCUGAAGGUGGAUCGUGACAGAAAUGGUAGAGUUCGCCGGAUAGGUUCUAUUUCUGGAGAGAGAGAGAGGUAGAUUUUUAUGUUUAUUAUUAAGUUAGUUUCAGCUUCUGAUAGCAGGUUAUUAAGAGUUUACUUGAGGAGAGGAUUACGGAAUUUUAGUCUAUAGUGGAGGAAGUCUUUGAGAUUUUUUUUUUGACGUAACAGAUGUUUAUUUGAGGAUACUUGUAAGGAUAAAGUUUAUAGUGAUAAGUUGUUUUAAGUCGUUGAAUUUAUUGUAGAUUUAUAUCGGGGAUUAUUACGUGAGGAGAAUACGUUAUAAGUUAAAUGCUUAUUAGAGAUAAUGCAAGUGGUUUAAUUUAAUUGAAGUUCAUUUUAAGAUUGUAGGUUAAGAGAAUUAUAAUUUAAAAUAAAAAUUUUUUGUCGUAAAUAGGAAUUAUUUUCAAGUGAAGUUUGUUUUGUUGUCGUGCGCGUAGGAGACGAGACGUACGAAUUAAAUCAGUCGAGGGAAGGAUAAACGUUAGAAAGGAAUUAAAGAGAAAACGAGAGUUUAUGUAAAAGAGAGUUAUAGAAUUUAUAGUGAUGUUUUGUUUUAAUUAGAAAAAUGUUGAGAGUUGUUUCAGAACGACACGUCAGUGGACGUGGCAGAAUGAACACGUGACGGGGAGGUGCUGAAACCUAGCGGAGAACGGAGGAACCGCAAGCGAGGGUUGGCGCACCUGAUGGAAUUCGGUGACGUCACGGGCUCAUACGGAGACGUGGACAGGCCGUGACCUUGUUUUGAUCAGCUGUACGGUAACUUAGCGAUAAGAAAAUAGACUAUUGGUUAAAUAAAUUUAAAUUUAAGUGUGUUUUAGGAGAAGAGGAACUUUCAGUAUAUUCCUUAAGAUGAGCUGAGCAGCAGUCCAGUUUACAAGAUGACAAGAGUUCGAGAGACAAGAUACAAGAUCACUGAAACAUGAGCCAAGACUGAAGAUUCAAGAGAAGAGAAAGCUGGCAGCCAUGGACUUACAAGUGGAGAUUAAUAAGGUCAUGUAAAGUUUUAUUUUUUUUAUGGAAGACAGUAACUGGAGUUUUUUUUUGUUAUAAACAUUAUUUACAGAACUUUUUAGGUUAUAGUAAUGUAAUGGAACUAGUGAGUUGUGGUAGCUGUCAAAAAGAACUAAUACCUUAAGUUUAAUUUUUAAAGUUAAUUUUCUUAAUUUACAGAGGGAUUAGUAGUUUUUUUUAAACCUUAUUUAGGUUGGAAUUUAAAUACAAUAGCUUAUUAUAAAUGUGUACGAACAGUUCAAGUUCACAGUACUGAUAGGUAGGUCAGAUGAUCUUAUUGAUUUUGAUGAUUUGUUGUUUUGAGUUGAUUUUUAGGUGUUGUGAAUUAGACAAUGAAAUAGUUCUGAAAACUUAAAUUAUUUCAAGCUAAGAAAUAGUAAAGUUAAUUGUAACUCAAAGGACACCAGAAUUUAAUUUUUUUUUUGAAUUAGUAAUGUUUGAAAAUUUUAUACUUUACAAGAAAGGUUAUAAACAAACAGAUCGGAUGGAACAAGGAUGCAGUAAAUCACAAUUUCAUUUAGAAUUAUUGAUUAGCUUUUGAGGUUAUGAAGUAAAAGUAAUUAUAAUUUAAAAGUUUGAAUAAAAAAAUGUUUUUUUUUAUUUGUUUGAAAUAGAAAGUUUAAAAGUUAAUUAGUCAUGAUCUAGGUGGGUGAUGGGGUGGGAAUUGGCCACUCUUUUUCCCUAUAACCUCCCUAACAUGGCCUUCUAUUACAUCUAACAGAAAAAAAAAAGAAGAAAAA